rnacentral:rRNA from 1 species
GGGUCCCUACGGGGCGCAGCAGUAGGGAAUCUUCCACAAUGGACGAAAGUCUGAUGGAGCAACGCCGCGUGAGUGAAGAAGGGUUUCGGCUCGUAAAGCUCUGUUGGUAGUGAAGAAAGAUAGAGGUAGUAACUGGCCUUUAUUUGACUGUAAUUACUUAGAAAGUCACGGCUAACUACGUGCCCGCAGCCGCGGUAAUACGUCGGUGGUAAGCGUUGUCCGGAUUUAUUGGGCGUAAA